rnacentral:lncRNA from 1 species
CAACAAUAAAUAAAAAACUAAGAGCGUGAGAAUUCGUUUCAUUGAGUAUAAGAGAAAUUAAAUAAUUACUGCAUAAAAGGGAUAUAAAUAAUAAUUAUGUACUUUUUUAGAGUGGUUAAUUCCCAUAUACACGAAUAUUAAUAUCAGGAACGCUAAAAUCUCACUUUUAGCUUUCAUCGUUCAAAAAAAAAAAUGUUCCGUUCAUUGAACGUACGUUCCAUGGAACUCCGUUCAAUUUUGUGUUUCGUUCACAAGCCUGAUUAUUCAAUUCCUUAGUAGUGAACAUCCUUUCCUAAAUAGAUGUAACCCUGAUGAUUAGUUGGGGAGUUAUAAUUGUGAGUCCUUGUUAGACUCAGUAGAAUUGGGAAUUGACAUCGGAGUAAUUCUUGCCAAUGAAAUUGUUUAUUUCCUUCUCCCUUGUCGCAGCUGAUUGUAGCUGAUCUCUUCAAAUUGUUGGGGUUAUCAUGUUGUUUUUGGUUUCUUUUUUUUACAUGCCUAUCAUACAUAUGAUUUUUAUCACUAUAUCAUAUGUCUUUAUAAAGCAAAGUUUGUAUGUUUGUUUUUUAUUUACAGUCCUUUUUAGUGUAUCUUAAAAAAGAGUUUAGGACUCAUUUUUAACAACAAAUGUGUUUAUUUAAAGCUCAUCCAUCCGGGCAGUCCUCUAAAGACUAAAGUAUUCCCUGGUUCCUCACGUCAAAUUGAAAAAAAAAUUUGAAUCUAUUUUUAUUAUUAUUUUCUUUUUGAGAAAAGAACAUGUAAGUAUUGAGUGCUACGUGUGAGCUUGCUCAUGAAAAACGGAGAAUAACACUGAGGAUUUGUUGGGGGAGUAAUCUUCUUAAUUAUUAAAGUAAAAUAUGUAUUUUAUUACUUGGGGCAAUGCCGGAUAUAGGAUAUGAGUAAAAACUAAUAUCAAUAAAUGAGGAAUUGUUAAAAAAAUUAUUCAUAUCUGAGAAAAAAUAUGAAAAGUCACAAUAAUAAUUUUAUGUACAUAAUGUGUUCAUGUAUUACGUACAAAGGGAGUCCUCUUAGAAAGGAUAUCUCAGUAGUUGAGAAAUUUUAGUGUCGUACACAGAUUACUAAAACUACUGGUGGUGAAAGUAAAUUUUGACGAAAAAUAUUAUUCUUUAAAUGUAAACAGAAAAUGUCAAAAUUACAUUGCCUACUCAUUUAAAAAUUCCAGGAACAAAGUUUCUAAGGAAAUAGUCCAAGACAUUGGACUCUCAUUUUUUUACAGAGAGUUGUAGCUGACAAAAAAGUUACAAGUUAAAAGUAUAUCAAAUUUAUAAAUAAAAGAAAAUGUAGACAAGAGAAAAUAGGGCAAGGAUGCCAUAUUCUCAUUAAACAUUAAAUUUUUGCUAUGAGUAUCUGAAGAUGUGCUAAAGGAGAUGAUCGUCAGAUUUAUUUUAUCGAUGGACCUAUAUCCAAUAUUAUCAAAGAAAAUGUUUACCUUUUGUUUUUCAAUCCAGUGAUUUGAGGAAGAGGUCAAGGUUAUGGAUUCAAUACUCAUUUUCAUCAAAAGAAGACAAAGUAAUACUUUUACUAUUAAUAUCAAUUCCCCAUUUUGAUUUAUACAGUAAAAUUGGAUUUUAGUCUGCACUGAGACAAUGAACAUAUCGACCUUCAACCAAAAAAUGAGGACGAAUAUCCAUGUAUCCUUAAGUUUCGAUUUAUAAAACGAUAUCAUUAAAUGAUGCAAAAAUAUUGAUCAUUCGCCAGGAAGCACCAACAAGUUCCAGCCAGAUUUGCAAUUGAAGAUAUGGCUAACCUCUUUUGACAUGUGAGACCUCAUUGCUGAAUUUAUUUAGUACUUCAACUAUUUCUUCCAACUCAACCAUUUACAGUUUUACGUAAUAAUAGAUAACAUAAAGAACAUUGGGGUACAUGAUUUUGGGGCGAAGCAUACCUUGAAUGAAAAUUAGACUAUGUAUAUUCAUGGGUAUAAUGGAUUAGUCAUAACAGCCAAAGUAUUAUUAGAGUCAUGGAAGAGUAUUUGAUUAUGUCCUUCAGGAUUGGGAGGACUUUUAGAGGUAUCCUGAGGUUAUCCUAUAACUAUUAAUCUGGACUACAUUGUAUCAAUAUUUAGCCUAAAAUACAUUUAGUUGAAUGAUGAAUUAUAACAAAUUAUAUUCAUGAGUGAUAUAAUUACAUGAAUUAUAUUAUGAAUCUUAACUAAUUCAUUAAGUAUAAAUAUGUAAAAUGUAAAGUAUUAUUCCAAUACAUAAUCUUCACUCCUUAUGUACAGACUUGAACUCGCUACUUGCAAAUCAAACUUGAGUCCAUAUUUUGAAAAUUUGUGACUCGAUUGAUCUGACAAUGAAAGACCUGCAAAUUGACUUGAAUUUGAAAGCUAAAAUUUGAGCUUUUAAUGGAUUUAUGACCGUUUUUAACAAAAAAAUUCAUAAUUUGGGGGGUCGAUCAAAAUAUUAAAGGACUUGGAAUUUGGGCAAAAACGUGGACUUGCAAUCUGUAUAUGGACUUAGUCCCACCUCUGCUAUAAAGCAAGCAAAUAUAUUCUUGGAAAUAGAUCGAAAUUUCAACAAAUAAACACAAACAGACAGUAGAAGUUAAACUGUUCUCAUUACCGUUGUUGAAUUCGGCUCCAGAAUCUAUAUUAAUUUAUUCUUAUUUACUUCAAUUUUCAAUUAAUAUAAGCAACGGAUAUCCAUAGACGAAAUACUCCUUUAAAUUAUGUACACAUUUCCAAGAAAAAUAAGAUAGUCCACCCUGCAAAAAGGGAAUAAUUAAUGGGUAACUAAAAUCAUGCAAUGUUUAUAUUUGAAUGUGUCAGAUUUAAAAGUUAUGAUAGGGGGUUUUUUGGAUAUGGAUUUAACUUUUUUUUUAACUAUACUUCCAGAACCAUUUGUGUACAUCCAAAAUAAUAAUAUUUAAAGUGAGUUGACGCAAAGAGUACGUUAUUUACAGUGAUGAAUAUUCAAUGUGCCGCCGGUAUUUUAUAUAAAAAAGAAACCGAAAAUAAACGUGGUAACCCUCACAAUUUGAAGAAUUUUUGAAAGUAGAGUAGCUUAGCUGUCAUGACGUUUUAUUAGAUUAGCUAUGAGCAGCUAUGAGAGAGUCGGCAAGAAAGAAAGAAAACACAAAUCAUACUCCGUAUCACGCAACCUCUGAAGCUCACCUUUUUCAGUUAGUUAUUCAAAAGAUAUUGUUUAUUACUGUUGUGACGCUUAGGACUUUAUGAUGCCAUUAAUUAUAUGUGUAUGACUCUUAAAAAGUAAAUGAAUUAGUUCCUGAACAGCAGCAAGUCUUGGGAAGUCCUUAUUUCUUCUUCAGAUCACGAGGUGGACAAGUAUCUACUUCGUUGUCGUCAUAUGGGAUUCAAGAUGUCAAAUGUUACUACUUGACAGCAAGUGUAUUUCCUUAGUUAUAGUGGCGGAGGAUAUCUCCUCCUUAGGGAAAGACUUAAAUGAGAGGAAGAUAAAAAACAACAAUCUGAUCCCUCAUUAAUUUGGAUGUUCUUUUUUGACCUUAAAAUUCAUCAAGGAGGGAUAAAAUAAUCUAUGUAGCUGGAUACAUUUCAGGAUGAUUAGUGCACGAGUUUUCCUAAUUUGUAUACUAUAACGUCAACAUAUAUGAUUAUAUCUACUGUAUCUUAUAAAUGAUCAAACACAUUGAGGGUUUUAAGGAAGAGUUAUCAGCAUAAGCGUACGAAGGAAGAGUUAUCAGCAUAAGCGUACGAAGAUAUAUCAUAUUCUAUUCAUAUAUAGCCUUUUAAAGUUAUAGGGAUUUCCCGAUGGUCCGGCGGGAUGGUUUCCCUGGCCACAAAUGAAAUAAGCCUCUCAAUUACUCCUCCUAAGUUAUUUUCCCUUUCAUUCCAAACCUUACUUUCAUCCUUUGGCCAUGACUCCAAAAACUUUUAAAACUCAACGUUCAUAUGGCAACUCCUUUUUUCGUUUCCUUUACUGUUGAUGCCAUCAUUGACAGGGCAUAAGCCUCAUAUGGAUGUAUCUUAUGAGUCGGAACGUCUUGAUAGAUAAUCUAUAAAUUUGACAUUUCAACUUUUUCAAAUAGUAUAGAAUUUAAGCUUAAGAUAAAACGCAAAAUCCAUUACUGAAGGUUAUCAGAUUAUGGUAUUUGUGAGCUCCUUAAUUUGAGUUAUUGUAUUAAGAUGAUUAUUACAUUCCAGAUUUAGGGUUUCUGAAAUCUUCAUCUAAAAUAAUAGACAUUGUGACAGGAAAGUUAGAUGCCAAUUCAGAAUCCAACUACUGAGAAAUAUAGAUACCUAUUAUACACGAUCGGAACAAGGGGAUAGAAUCCAAUUAAACGAAACGUAUUGUCAUUUUAAAAAUGUUAAUAUUAUAUUCAUUCAACUAUAAACCUACUAUUUACAUAUUCUGUUCUAAAUAGUCUCUGAUUAUUUGAUUUUAAACCGCAAAACCUAACGAAAUAAAGAAAUUUGUGUAUGAUAUAGUGAUAAUUAUUUUUUAUACAUUUAUAAUACAAUUUUUAAAAACUGAAAUAUAUUGUUAAAAUUUCUUGUUGGUUGUGUUUCAUAGUUAUUGUGUAAUAAAGUUUUUUUAAUAAUUUAACUUUUAAUAUUAUUAUUUAAAACAAUACAUAAAUUUCUACUUCCAAAGCUCUCCAUUUUUGCUAGGAAAUCGAUGAAAAGAGAAUAAGAAAAUCUCUUUAACAUAUUUUCAAGCAACUUUUCCAAUUUUAUAAGAUAUAACUAUUCAUGUUCUAUUCUAUUCUAUUUUUUUAAUAAAAAUACUGUUAUACAAUUUAGUAUAAAAUUAAUUUAGAAGUCUUAAACAGAUAAUUAUAGUCAGUUAUACUUAUAUUGUUUAUAAAUAUUUGCAUUAAUUUUUUAAAUCCAAAAUAUUCCUAUGUCAGACUUAUAGCUCACUCCCUGUUUAAAAAUUCAAAUACAGCUAUUUAUUUAUGUCAUCAUUCAAUAUAUUUAUGUAGGACUACUAAAGAGUUAACAUAUUUUUCCUUCGUUGUUAUUAAUAGAAAAAGGUGAGCUUCUGAGAUUUUGCUGACUUAUAAAAUUUCCACUCAUCCAUUUAUCUAGUAAUUCAUGUAUAAUGGCAAAGCUCUGAACAAAGGUAUGCAGAGAGUUGAUCUUAUUCACAAGAAACUGUUAUUUACAAUUUAUCUAUGGAAUCCUAAGUCAUCGGCACGUUUUUGUUACAUAAUUUGCGUUAAUACCAUUAAUAAUUUAGUUCUUCUUAAU